UAUCUCCAUUUUGCCCCCUCUCCCCCCCCACCCCACCCACCCCAAAUAACAUUAUGCGUUUGUCAUGUUAUUAUGGACUAUUCGUGUAGAGCCGUAUGUCGUGUUAUUAUGCUAGAUCCGCCCCUGGUCGUACGUGGUACACUAUAUGUAGAGCCAUUUACCGUGUUCUCAUCGAUGAUCGAUCCCAGAUAUUUAUUGUGUGGGUAAAGCCAUUAGUUAUAGAACUUUCCAGAAAAUUAUUGCUCGCCAUAAAAAAAAACUUUAAAAUUUUACUAGUUAAAACGGUUUAAAUUAGAGCAUGAAAG